CGGAAGUCGGGGGUUCAAAUCCCCCCUUUUGCUGUAAAUUAGACAGGGAGGACUUUCACCUCCAUCUUCGA
rnacentral:tRNA from 1 species